rnacentral:misc_RNA from 1 species
GAUGAAGAACGCAGCGAAAUGUGAUACGUAAUGUGAAUUGCAGAAUUCAGUGAAUCAUCGAAUCUUUGAACGCACAUUGCGCCCUUUGGUAUUCCUUAGGGCAUGCCUGUUCGAGCGUCAUUUAAACCUUCAAGCUCAGCUUGGUGUUGGGUGACUGUCCGCUUCACCGCGGACUCGCCUCAAAAUUAUUGGCGGCCGGUACAUUGGCUCUCGAGCGCAGCAGAAACGCGUAACUCGAGGUCCUCGUGCUGGCUCCCAGAAGCUAUCUUCACAAUUUUGACCUCGGAUCAGGUAGGGAUACCCGCUGAACUUAAGCAUAUCAAUAAGCGGAGGA